CAACUCUGCACUACGUCACUUAAUCAUUGAAAACAGUGAAAACACGUGCGUGCUUGUGUCAUGGCUGCGCGGCUUCGAGAUCAAACGUGCUAGAGAAUGAAUCGACUUAUUGAUGAAUAACGUCGUUAAAUAUUUGCUCCGGCCGAGCAGAUACAGUCACUGUCGGCUUCAAAUGUGCUUGAAGGACGCCAGCGGUUCAUGGAGGCGUGUUUUUGAUAGUCCGUUGUCGCCACCUGGUGGCGGACAUGAAGUACUGCGCGUACCGUCGCACGGCAAACAAGAAGGCGGAAGACUCAACUCAGCUGGAGAGAGCAGCGGCGUCACAGUCACACCUCAGGCCACUAAAACGUCUGUCUGGGUACGAGGCCCCCGACAUCAGGUGUCCAACCGAGGACCUGAGGCGCCAAAGUUCUCACGCGGGACGUCCAUAAAGGAACCUUAAUUGGACCCCGGUCCUCCUUUGAAGAGACACUAAAAAACCCAGGUUACAUUGAACGCAUCAGAAUGUGCCCAGAGGCGUGGACACUGCCUAUCGCACCAACUUUAACCCAAUCAUCAUAGAAGAACUCUGUAAACCAAUAGAAUGGUUUUCACACCUUUCUGAUUGUCUAUAUAUGUACGUGUCCCUUCGUUAAGGAAUCGUGAGUGAAACCGGUAGACAGUUAACCGCGUCGCAGUCAAAGGACUCUCUGUGGCCUGUGGACUGGGGAAGCCUGCGAAUCCUCGAUCGAGGUGUUAACUUUUUAGCGCAACGCUUAUUCUUUUAUUAAACUCUUUCGAUCUAACUUUUUUGAUUUGCGGUAUCCUUUGUUCGUCCAGAGUUUUCCUCAUUUUUGAAUACUACAACACACAUAAGCACACACAGUGUAGUAUAUGGAGGUCACGUUUCCCAUUUUAACCACAAUGAAUAAUGAAGAAUUAUGAUGAGAUGGGAAUUUAUUGUCUUUUUUAUUUAUUGUAAUAAAUAAUAGUUUAAA